rnacentral:rRNA from 1 species
AUGGAGCCCCCUGGCUUGUUCCUCUGCGUGUACUGCAGCCGCAGCUUCUACAACUCGCAGGCGUUCGGGGGCCAUCAGAACGUGCACAAGGAAGAGCGCUGCCGGGAAAUGAUCAGUGAUGUUUUCUCUAUAGGAAUAGUGCAGAUGGAAGCGGCGAUUCGGUGCUCGAGCCCAGAUGCUCCCGAAAUCUUCGUCGUCCGCUCGUUACUCGGGAUGCGAACAAAUCCUGCUGGCGCAUCUGCUGCGGAACGGGGAAAAAAGGUUGUAUUCGAUAUACAGCAGGAAACAGUGGAGCUUUUGUGGGCCCAGAUCGUACGCGGGGAAAGGCCCGUUUCGCUUGCCAGUUAUGUGGUCCGUGGACCAGGACGUUUGGUUUGCACCGAGCCACGGAUCAGAAAAUCCUUGCUUGAUGCCGUGGACAGGUUAGUUCCCGGGGGAUCUAAUAUGUUUCUUGGGGUAAGCAGUGUCAGUGGGCACGCCGGGAGAAAUAAGCUAACGCUGGCCAUGACCGGCGCUGGUUGCCACUUGAAAUCAGGUUCCCGCUCCGGGAGGAGUUCGUCGAUAGCUUGGAUCACACAGAUCCGGUGCCUCUGGCCUUUCUGCUGGAGAGCUUGGCCAACGGUGGAGUCCCGGGGGACUCAAACAAUGGGUCUGGUUGCGGGCAGCAGAUCGGCAGCGCUGUCCCGGAGAGAGCACACGGGGUGGUGUGCCGUCGUCCGGAUGCUUCUCCUACUUAGUCGGCGCAGUCAACUGACAGAAUCAACCGGCAAGCCCCCGCUGGACGAAAAGGGGAAACGAGAGGCAGAGAAUAGUAGGUCAUGCCACUAUGAGUGUCCUGCAUUUAUAAGGCUGCUGCGCACGACCCACAACAGCUGGGUUUAUGUUGGCAUCCGUGCCUUUGAUUUUGCGAUGACUGCAAGGGAUCCCAAAAACCUUGUAUACAUCCUCAGCCCAGAACUUGAGGACCUUGAUAAAAUUAACCUGGAGGACCUGGUGUAUAUCUUCUUUGAUUUGUUAAAUGCCAACAAAAAGGUAGUAGUCGCCCUCUCGCCCGAGCCGCUCUCGCGGGCGGCAGGGCGAAAACCUAGCCGUCGCCCGAGCUCCCCCUCCCCGCCUCUCCCCCUCCCCGCCGCCGCCGAAGGGCGCCACCGGGCGAAGCCCGGCUGGCGUCGGUGGCGGCGGGGUUCCCCUCCCACCUCCCUUGGGGCCCUGUGGCGCGAGACACAUGGGUCAGGCGAGGUGCGCGGCGCUGGCGCAGGGCGGCGCGGCGGCGGAUGCGCGUCACAGCGCGGCGGCGACUGCGUGGAGCUGGUGGCGGGGCGUGCUGGCUUGGGGGCGGCGGGGCAGCAGUGGCUGCGUCUUGUUCCCAUGGACUGUUGGUGUGGAAGCAGAUUGAAUGCCGAGAGGACAAAGUCAAUGCAGGAGAUCGUUUGUGGCUGCCCGAGCAUCAUGAGAAUCACAGCCAAGCACAUAGAUGUGUACACGAAUGAUCUGAUACAGCUAGAUGAAGUGGCGCAGGAUGAUGGCGAGGUGAGCACUGUAAACUCAGAGCAGGCAACGUUCGCCUUUGGUUUUAUGCGAUUGCUCCAUGGUGAUAAGUGUUCCAGGGUGAAGUUGUCCUCAUGGAUGGCAAAGGCGGAACGAGCUGCAAGCAGGAAGUGGGCGUGGACUCAGGUUGCGGUUCUUUUGGAAGAAGGUUUCGGCGAUUUCCCAACCUCCGGCAUGCAGCUAACCAACCAAGACGGCUCAGCCGGGUACAGGAAAUCAACUGAGCCGUGCACGGGUCAUCUGUUCCAGCUGAAGGUGACGGUGGCCGUAGCAAUUAAUGCACGCAGGAACAGGCCAUAUUUGAGUGCAAUACAAUGGCUAUACCUGACGCAAAUACAGUCACAUGCACAGAUCCAGAUGGUAGCGAAUGGUGCUGAUUUCAGGUUCAGCUGA